rnacentral:lncRNA from 1 species
AGGAAAUCCCUGCUCCAGCCCUAAGCCUGUUGGAGCAGGGUCCUAGCAACUGCUUCCCCAACCAGAAGCAUAGCACCUGCCAGGCCAGGAACUUAAGAGAAAUGAAGGCCUCCCCUAAUCCCAGGGAGGCAAUACUAUUAUUUCUCCUGUUUACAGACAAGAACCCUGGGGCUGAGAGCCAUUUGGUCACGUGACCAGGGCCUUCCCUGCAGAAUGGGCAGAGCCAAGUCCCCUGACCCCAAAGUGCAGGCCUCACAGUGCUUUCAGAGUGCCUGAAUGGUGGAGGGGGCUGAGGGCUUUCUUCCCAGCCCUGGUCAUCUCGCCCCAGGCCUCAGCUGUGGGCAUCUACCCAGGAAGGCCAGGAGAGGCAGGCCUGAAGAAGAAUCUGGAAGGAGGAGGUCCACCAUGGGGCAUCAAAUACUUCAUUUGUAUGCUGAGCCAAGCUGGGCUGGAGGCCGGGGGCCCCUCGAGGGCAAGCCUCUGGGCCGGGAGCCAGGCUGACCUCUGCCCACUGAGGCCAGGAUGAGUAUGUCCUUUUCUGCCUCCCUCUUUCUUAGAAGUACUCUCAGCCCAGUACUUCCUGAGAUUUCUGCUGCAGUGCCAAGCAGCCUGCUUAACCCCUCACCUCCCACUCCUUCCGAGGCGACUCAGAACCCAGAGGGGAAGGGUCAGAGGUGUACAGGUGCCCAGGGGUUCCAGGGAAAGAGAGCAUGCAUCCGGGACCCUGGAGGGCUCUGUUUCAGCUUCACCUCUUAGCCUAUGCCUUAAAUGGACCACUUCACCCCUCAGAGCCUCUUCAGCUUCAAAUGGAGUUUGGCGAUGACAACAGCCUGGUAAAGCAUGCUUGCAGAUGGAACGAAGACAGACCUAGAUGGGACACCAAGCACCUUCUCUGGGCCAGGCACUGGCAUUACUGAUUGACGUGCAUUUCCUAUUCAUUCCUUGCAAUCACCCAGUGAGGUAGAAAUUAGUAUUUCUGCCAUUUUUUCAUUUUCAUGGGACUAAAGCACAGAGAGGGAAGGUAAUUGUCCAGGGUCACGCAGCUGGCAGGUGGUAGAGCGGGGGGUAGCUGAGUAGAGGCAAAAAGAAGUCUCAUUUGGCCUCUGAUGAGUAUUCUCAGCACUUUAGGGGCUUCUGGUAGACUGUGGCUCAUGCAGGGGUCAGGCCUGGCCCAUUCACUGUGCAUCCCAGCACCAACACCUAGCAGGAUGCCUGGUGCAGAGUCGGUACUCUGAAUGGCAAGAGAGCAGCAGUGCAG